GAGCAGUGAUUCAGAGGGCAUGUCAGUAGGUGAUGGUGAUACCGAUGAAAGAGAGGCUCCUCAUGUUGCACAAAUACAUGCUGGACCACCUGGACCUCACGAAACAAAGAAAAGAGAAGGAAAAAUCUAAGGGGUGGUGAUAACUGUUAAACCUUCCAAAUCGAAUCACACACAGACUGACCAGGACCGGCUGACCAGAUCUUGAGAGUGCAUACGGAAGAAAGUCUGCUGGCAGACUGCGCCGGCGCUGAACCCACCAAGACAUUGGCAGAGCUGUCACCCCUGGUGACAUCUCUCUCCAAGAGAGCCACUUAGAGCAUGGCGUCCCAGUUACCUGGCAUCCUUAACCAAGAUCUCAACAGCACGCCACAACUCAAAGUAGGCAACUCCAUCCUCUGCUUCGAACUGGGUUGAUGUCGGAAUAAUCUUAGUUUCCGACCUAAUAAUUAUAAUUCCUUACCGUUCACAAUAAAUAUGCUACACAUAGCUGAAUUUAUUCUCUUCCCCCAUCGCCCAAUAUCAUUGCUAAUUCAGCUGGUAGAAAUAGGUAUUGUUAGAUAUAGUUUCGUAUUCAUUAUCAUUGUUUAUUGUAUUUCACCUGUGCCUAGAAAAUAAAUCUUAUUAACUUGACCCAGUUGUUGCCCUGUGUUUCCUUGAAGUGGAGAUCGGAGAUCAAUGUAAUCGAGAAAUCACAAUGUUUGAUGUGAGAUUGAUCAACCUAAUCCAUAACUAAUCAAGUUGUCCUCCAUGUGGAUGUCAUGCGGUGAGGUCAAGUUGGGGUUUUGUCCUGUCUCCAUGUCUUGUCAUUUCCUGUUUUAUUUUGAAAAGUAACUCUCCUCUCGUUUCAGGUCACUUGCCCUUCCUCAUGUGUCACCUGUCGGAGUGUCUUCCCUGAUUCCUGAUUGUGUCCACCUGUUUCCCAUUGCCCUCAUGUGUCUUAUAGUCUGCGUCUCCCUUUGUCCUGUGCCAGAGUGUUUCGUUCCGUUCGUGCA